AGUGAACGCUGGCGGUAGGCCUAACACAUGCAAGUCGAACGGAAGCACAGUAAGAGCUUGCUCUUACGGGUGGCGAGUGGCGGACGGGUGAGGAAUACAUCGGCAUCUACUUUUUCGUGGGGGAUAACGUAGGGAAACUUACGCUAAUACCGCAUACGACCUACGGGUGAAAGCAGGGGAUCUUCGCACCUUGCGCGACUGAAUGAGACGAUGUCGGAUUAGCUUGUUGGCGGGGUAAAGGCCCACCAAAGCGACGAUCCGUAGCUGGUCUGAGAGGAUGAACCGCCACACUGGAACUGAGACACGGUCCAGACUCCUACGGGAGGCAGCAGUGGGGAAUAUUGGACAAUGGGCGCAAGCCUGAACCAGCCAUACCGCGUGGGGGGAGAAGGCCUUCGGGUUGUAAAGCCCUUUUGUUGGGAAAGAAAAACAGCAGGUUAAUACCCCGCUGUUCUGACGGUACCCAAAGAAUAAGCACCGGCUAACUUCGUG
rnacentral:rRNA from 1 species